UGCGGCUGGAUCACCUCCUUUCUGGAAAACAGCAUUCAAUAUUGAACGCCCACACUUAUCGGUUGUUGGAAGAAGUCGGUGCUAACCGACAUGGGUCUGUAGCUCAGCUGGUUAGAGCACCGUCUUGAUAAGGCGGGGGUCGUUGGUUCGAGCCCAACUAGACCCACCAAAUCUUCCGAACAUAAGAUGCGAGGAUCAGUGGGGGAUUAGCUCAGCUGGGAGAGCACCUGCUUUGCAAGCAGGGGGUCGUCGGUUCGAUCCCGUCAUCCUCCACCAACCAAUACGCUCUGCGGUAGGGCGAAGAAACCAACACCAAAGCGGCUUCGCGAGAGGCCUCUUUGUUGUUGGUCCGGUAUAGACCGGAUCAAUCGGCUGUUCUUUAAAAAUUCAUAGAGUCGAAUCAGCGUUGCCGGCGGAAAGCAGGAAACUGCACCGUGCCGCCGGUGACAAAAAUUUGAUUGCGUCAAAACGAAUAUUCAAUUGAGCGAAAGCUUGUUGAAAUUCAGUAAUGACGAAUUGUUCUCUAGGUAGCAAUACCGAAGAAGAAUUCACAUUACGGCAUAACGCGCGAGGUGAAAGACCUCGCAAGUCCUUGAAAGAAAGCGGAGAUGUCUC
rnacentral:tRNA from 1 species